AAGUCGUAACAAGGUUUCCGUAGGUGAACCUGCGGAAGGAUCAUUAACACGAAUUAUUUAUUAUCCAAUAUCAAAAACCAAACGUGAACCUUUUUCCUCCCUAUAUAUAGAAUAUAUUUAUAUAUGCUAUGUAUAGGCUAACCUUAUAUAAAAUUUUAACCCUUUAAACUUCAACUAGUUUUAAUUUAUAAUUAAAACAUCUAAACUAAGAAAGACAAGGUUAUUCGAAAGAGUAAACUUCAACUUUUUUCGAUUUACGAAAAAUUUAAAGAACAACUCUUAACAAUGGAUAUCUUGGUUCUC
rnacentral:misc_RNA from 1 species